rnacentral:rRNA from 1 species
GUCGAGCGGUAGAGAGAAGCUUGCUUCUCUUGAGAGCGGCGGACGGGUGAGUAAUGCCUAGGAAUUUGCCUGGUAGUGGGGGAUAACGUUCGGAAACGGACGCUAAUACCGCAUACGUCCUACGGGAGAAAGCAGGGGACCUUCGGGCCUUGCGCUAUCAGAUGAGCCUAGGUCGGAUUAGCUAGUUGGUGAGGUAAUGGCUCACCAAGGCGACGAUCCGUAACUGGUCUGAGAGGAUGAUCAGUCACACUGGAACUGAGACACGGUCCAGACUCCUACGGGAGGCAGCAGUGGGGAAUAUUGGACAAUGGGCGAAAGCCUGAUCCAGCCAUGCCGCGUGUGUGAAGAAGGUCUUCGGAUUGUAAAGCACUUUAAGUUGGGAGGAAGGGCAGUAAAUUAAUACUUUGCUGUUUUGACGUUACCGACAGAAUAAGCACCGGCUAACUCUGUGCCAGCAGCCGCGGUAAU